rnacentral:rRNA from 1 species
UCGUCAGCUCGUGUCGUGAGAUGUUGGGUUAAGUCCCGCAACGAGCGCAACCCUUGUCCAUAGUUACUAACGGGUCAUGCCGAGAACUCUAUGGAGACUGCCGGUGAUAAACCGGAGGAAGGUGGGGAUGACGUCAAGUCAUCAUGGCCUUUAUGUCCAGGGCCAGGGCUAACACGUGUACAAUGGAGGCACAAGGAUUUCAAACCGCGAGGUGGAGCUAAUCUCAAAAAACCGUUCUCAGUUCGGAUUGCAGUUUGCAACUCGACUGCAUGAAGCUGGAAUCGCUAGUAAUCGCGGAUCAGCACGCCGCGGUGAAUACGUUCCCGGGCCUUGUACACACCGCCCGUCACAUCACGAAAGUCGGUUGCACUAGAAGUCGGUGGGCUAACCCGUAAGGGGGGCAACAACCUAAAGUGUGAUCGGUAAUUAAGUUUUAACAAGGUAU